rnacentral:rRNA from 1 species
CCUACGGGCGGCAGCAGUGGGGAAUAUUGCACAAUGGGCGCAAGCCUGAUGCAGCAACGCCGCGUGAGGGAUGACGGCCUUCGGGUUGUAAACCUCUUUUAGUAGGGAAGAAGCGCAAGUGACGGUACCUGCAGAAAAAGCACCGGCUAACUACGUGCCAGCAGCCGCGGUAAUACGUAGGGUGCAAGCGUUAUCCGGAUUCACUGGGUUUAAAGGGUGCGUAGGCGGAUAGAUAAGUCAGUGGUGAAAUCUCCGAGCUUAACUCGGAAACUGCCGUUGAUACUAUUUGUCUUGAAUAUUGUGGAGGUAAGCGGAAUAUGUCAUGUAGCGGUGAAAUGCUUAGAUAUGACAUAGAACACCAAUUGCGAAGGCAGCUUACUACACAAUCAUUGACGCUGAGGCACGAAAGCGUGGGGAUCAAACAGGAUUAGAUACCCCAG